UACGUAGGGGGCUAGCGUUGUCCGGAAUCAUUGGGCGUAAAGCGCGUGUAGGCGGUCCGGUAAGUCCGCUGUGAAAGUCGGGGGCUCAACCCUCGAAUGCCGGUGGAAACUGUCGGGCUAGAGUACGGAAGAGGCGAGUGGAAUUCCUGGUGUAGCGGUGAAAUGCGCAGAUAUCAGGAGGAACACCGGUGGCGAAGGCGGUUCUCUGGGCCUUACCUGACGCUGAGGAGCGAAAGCAUGGGGAGCAAACAGG
rnacentral:rRNA from 1 species